AGGACGAAAGGUGGGAGCGGCGGUGGCUGCGAGGCGGUGCCGGCGCCCUGCCCGCGGAAAACGCCGUCCGUGCUGCUGCCGCCUCCUCGCCGCUCGCCCUGUGACUGCGCGGGGCUGCGCCGGCCACUCCGCCCCGCCCCCCGCCGCCCAUUGGCCGGCGCCGCUCCCACGUGACCGCGGGCCCUCACGUUUCUGAGAGUUGAAACCGCGGUCUGUGUGCAGCAAACACGGCGGGUUUCCCUGGGCCUGCACCGUGGUUACAGUGCGCACGGCCAGCAGCCGACCGAGGCAUCGCACUGACGGGACUCGGCACAACCCUUUGGAGCCGCAGCAGGACAGCUCUAGAUGCAGAUCUGAAAAUAAACCUCCACCUGUGGAUUGCAGCUCAAAUCUACAGCUUCACGGACAGGUGCAUAGUAAGAAUGGUCUCAUUAGAAAUAACGUCUCAAGUAAAAGGCAGAGGACCCAAAUCAGCAGUACAGCUCUUUCUUAAACUUCAAGAAUUCCAGACAGUACUUUAAGAGCUGUUAUUUUUCUUUCUCCUAAAAUAUUUUUUCUGCUUAGAGCUACAGAAAGUAAAAGUCAACAAGAAAAGAUGUGUGCAUCAUGUUUCCCUUUGUGCUUGUCUUUCCUCACCUUGAAUGACCUAAUAAACACAGUAAUA